AUUGAACGCUGGCGGCAGGCCUAACACAUGCAAGUCGAGCGGAUGAAGGGAGCUUGCUCCUGGAUUCAGCGGCGGACGGGUGAGUAAUGCCUAGGAAUCUGCCUGGUAGUGGGGAAUAACGUCCGGAAACGGGCGCUAAUACCGCAUACGUCCUGAGGGAGAAAGUGGGGGAUCUUCGGACCUCACGCUAUCAGAUGAGCCUAGGUCGGAUUAGCUAGUUGGUGGGGUAAGGGCCUACCAAGGCGACGAUCCGUAACUGGUCUGAGAGGAUGAUCAGUCACACUGGAACUGAGACACGGUCCAGACUCCUACGGGAGGCAGCAGUGGGGAAUAUUGGACAAUGGGCGAAAGCCUGAUCCAGCCAUGCCGCGUGUGUGAAGAAGGUCUUCGGAUUGUAAAGCACUUUAAGUUGGGAGGAAGGGCAGUAAGUUAAUACCUUGCUGUUUUGACGUUACCAACAGAAUAAGCACCGGCUAACUUCGUG
rnacentral:rRNA from 1 species